rnacentral:rRNA from 1 species
GACAGAGGUUGCAAACGUUGUUCGGAAUUACUGGGCAUAAAGCGCACGUAGGUGGUCCGCUAAGUCGGAUGUGAAAUUCCCCGGCUCAACCGGGGAACGGCAAUCGAUACUGGCGGGCUUGAGGUCCGGAGGGGUGAGUGGAACUACUGGUGGAGCGGUGAAAUGCGUAGAGAUCCGGAGGAACACCAGAGGCGAAGGCGGCCUACUGGGCUGCACCUGACGCUGAACCGCGAAAGCCAGGGGAGCGAACGGG